rnacentral:rRNA from 1 species
GACGAACGCUGGCGGCGUGCUUAACACAUGCAAGUCGAACGGAAAGGCCCUGCUUGCAGGGUACUCGAGUGGCGAACGGGUGAGUAACACGUGGGUGAUCUGCCCUGCACUUCGGGAUAAGCCUGGGAAACUGGGUCUAAUACCGGAUAGGAGCCAUUUUUAGUGUGAUGGUUGGAAAGUUUUUUCGGUGUAGGAUGAGCUCGCGGCCUAUCAGCUUGUUGGUGGGGUAAUGGCCUACCAAGGCGGCGACGGGUAGCCGGCCUGAGAGGGUGGACGGCCACAUUGGGACUGAGAUACGGCCCAGACUCCUACGGGAGGCAGCAGUGGGGAAUAUUGCACAAUGGGCGCAAGCCUGACGCAGCGACGCCGCGUGGGGGAUGACGGCCUUCGGGUUGUAAACUCCUUUCGCUAGGGACGAAGCUUUUUGUGACGGUACCUAGAGAAGAAGCACCGGCUAACUACGUG